rnacentral:sRNA from 3 species
AUGUACCCCUCGUACGCUGCGGUUGCUCCGCGCCGUCCGCGCCGAGCUGACGAACACUCGCCAGGUUUUGUUAGCC